rnacentral:rRNA from 1 species
GACGAACGCUGGCGGCGUGCCUAAUACAUGCAAGUUGAGCGAUGAAGAUUGGUGCUUGCACCAAUUUGAAGAGCAGCGAACGGGUGAGUAACGCGUGGGGAAUCUGCCUUUGAGCGGGGGACAACAUUUGGAAACGAAUGCUAAUACCGCAUAACAACUUUAAACAUAAGUUUUAAGUUUGAAAGAUGCAAUUGCAUCACUCAAAGAUGAUCCCGCGUUGUAUUAGCUAGUUGGUGAGGUAAAGGCUCACCAAGGCGAUGAUACAUAGCCGACCUGAGAGGGUGGUCGGCCACAGUGGGACUGGGACACGGCCCAAACUCCUACGGGAGGCAGCAGUAGGGAAUCUUCGGCAAUGGACGAAAGUCUGACCGAGCAACGCCGCGUGAGUGAAGAAGGUUUUCGGAUCGUAAAACUCUGUUGGUAGAGAAGAACGUUGGUGAGAGUGGAAAGCUCAUCAAGUGACGGUAACUACCCAGAAAGGGACGGCUAACUACGUG